AGAGGCUUAGGAUAACAUUAGACCAAGAGCCUUCAAAGCCCUAAGUGGGGGUGAAAACCCCUCAGCCUCUG
rnacentral:tRNA from 1 species